CCUGGGGCGCGGGGCGGCCCGUUGGCAGCGCGUUCCAAAGCCAUUCAAUCCGUGACGGUCACAGAACCGGAAUCACAACAUCGUGGGGGUUGAAAGGGACUUCUGGAGCUCAUCUAGUCCAGCCCCCUGCUGCAGAAUGAUUUGGAUACCCAUCCGUUAGCCGUCUGUCUACUAUUUUUUCCUGGUCAGCUCCUACAAGUCAUGAAGAUGUUAUUUAGUGUCUAUAUUGCACAGAUAGAUAUUUGAUGGCAGACAGGAAGCUUGUGGCUGGAUUUCACAAGAAUGAAAAAUUAGAAGACAGCCUAGAUUCCAGUUUUUGUGUUGGAACAGAGCGUGUCUUUGGUAAAGACAGAGACUUGGGGUGCAUGAUUAUGUGAAUGCACAGAUGCAAGUAACAAAGGGAAAUAGCUAAGAUUUCCUGAAUGCAUUUGAGAUGAAAUGUCACUUUGGUAAUGGAUUUGAAGAAGACUCAUCUGAAAGAGCAAAUAUAAAUAUGUUUCAAGUUUCUGAUGAUGCAGCUGCUAGAAACAGAAGAAAGAACUUUCCAGUCCAUGAUAUGAAACAAAUUACAUCCUGUAUCUACUUGUUGGGAAUAUUUCAAAUUAAAUAUACAGCUGGAACUUCAGCCAUGCUCCUUCUUCUUCAUAUCAGUAUGUGUAUUUUUUACCUACUUACUGCAGG